AGCGAACGCUGGCGGCAGGCUUAACACAUGCAAGUCGAGCGCCCGUAGCAAUACGGGAGCGGCAGACGGGUGAGGAACACGUGGGAACGUACCCUUCAGUUCGGAACAACCCAGGGAAACUUGGGCUAAUACCGGAUAAGCCCUUACGGGGAAAGAUUUAUCGCUGAAGGAUCGGCCCCGCGUCUGAUUAGCUAGUUGGUGAGGUAAUGGCUCACCAAGGCGACGAUCAGUAGCUGGCUGAGAGGAUGAUCAGCCACACUGGGACUGAGACACGGCCCAGACUCCUACGGGAGGCAGCAGUGGGGAAUAUUGGACAAUGGGCGGCAAGCCUGAUCCAGCCAUGCCGCGUGAGUGAUGAAGGCCUUAGGGUUGUAAAGCUCUUUUCGUCAGGGAAGAUAAUGACGGUACCUGAAGAAGAAGCCCCGGCUAACUUCGUGCCAGCAGCCGC
rnacentral:rRNA from 1 species